rnacentral:rRNA from 1 species
UGGCGGACGGGUGAGUAACGUGUGGAAAACCUGCCGUAUACUGGGGGAUAACACUUAGAAAUAGGUGCUAAUACCGCAUAAGCGCACAGCUUCGCAUGAAGCGGUGUGAAAAACUCUGGUGGUAUACGAUGGUUCCGCGUCUGAUUAGCUAGUUGGUGGGGUAAUGGCCUACCAAGGCAACGAUCAGUAGCCGGCCUGAGAGGGUGAACGGCCACAUUGGGACUGAGACACGGCCCAAACUCCUACGGGAGGCAGCAG